CCUCAGGCGGACGAAGAGCGCGGGAGGCCGCGGCCCCGCCCAGCGUCCGGGCCUCGAGCGCCAGCGGCUGGCGGGAGCAGCUCGUGGCGCGCCGGAGCCCGCCCGCCUCCCUGCGUGGACAGCUGGACACGGCGGCGCGGAGUCGUCCGCGGGCGGGGCGCGCGUCACCGAGAGCGUUCGCCGGGCGCUCCGGGUUCUGAGACGCCCGGGACGGGCGGGCUGUCAACCACCUGGGAGCAUCACUUGUCAAAAGAUAAACCGCUUGACGUCCUGGGAAAGGCGUCGGAGGCGCCUCCUGAGAUUCGUCGCCGCGGCGGAUCGGAACGCAGCCCCAGCUUGUCGGGGUGGCUGGCUUGCUCCACGCGGAGCGCGUGCGCGUGGCGCAGGGUCGAAGAAGUGGGAUGAGAGACUGGGAGAAGGGCGGUGGUCCUGCGAGGUCCGAUUCGCUGUUUGGCGAGUUGAGUCUCAAACCUUUCAGGGGCGUUCAGAAGUCUGGGCCUUAUCUCCUGGAGUUUUCUAGAGUAAGCCAGCCGCAGAAUAUUCUCGGCCCGCUGAGGACAGUUCCCAGAAACAUCAGCGUGGGACUGAGGCAGGAGGCUCCCUUUCGGACCGCUUGGCGGCUUGUUGCCCACUGCACCCCGCGGUUGGCUCUCAGCCUGCCACUGCUUCCUGUCGGAUUCAGUGGUGUCCAGAUUCUGGGUGCUGCUGUGGGUUGUGACCUAGGACUCAGCCCCAUCCCUUUGCUGUAUUCCUAAGAAUACUUACUUUUCACAGCCUACAGACCCCCACCCCUCAAUCCUCAGGAAUGUUCCUAGACUAGUGCUUUGAUCGAAAGGAGUGAGGGGGGAAAAAAGAAAAAAAAAAAAAGAAAGAAACCUUCAAGCCCAGGCAUUGCCCAUGAAGACCUGAAACCCUGAGAGUCUUAAGUCCAGGAAAGGCCUGGGGGCAGGAUUGCAGAGAGGAGCUGAAACAGACUCCUCUGCUUGAUACUAUCGGGCUAGCCAAAGGCACACUGGCUCCAGAAGACUUUCCAUCCACACACUAUGGUCACCUGUUUAGAUGCACUGGCAGCCUUGGAGUUCUGAGACUAUCACAGGAGAUAUUCUUAGAAGCCUUCGGCAAGUGAGUGGAACUCGAAUCCCAGGUGGGCCCCGAGUGGAACAGGACAGGGACAGCAGCAGCACAGCCGACUCCUAUUCGGUCUCUCCAAAGCUUCUCUAAAGACUCCACAUUCAAGCUGUAUUUUCCUACCUGGGGCCUGCAGUCCUGAAAAGUUCAGUCUGCUCUUCUGCUGCUCCAUGUGUCCCUAACUGAAGUCCACUUGUCUGCCUGCUCCUCCAGGCCUCGUGGAACUUUGUAAAAGCUGCUGCCAAAGAUAGGCCCAGGCCCGUUAGU